rnacentral:rRNA from 1 species
AGAGUUUGAUCCUGGCUCAGGAUGAACGCUAGCUACAGGCUUAACACAUGCAAGUCGAGGGGCAGCAUGGGCUUAGCUUGCUAAGCCCGAUGGCGACCGGCGCACGGGUGAGUAACACGUAUCCAACCUUCCGGUAACUCCGGUAUAGCCUUUCGAAAGAAAGAUUAAUCCCGGAUAGUAUGGUGAUUCCGCAUGGUUUCUCCAUUAAAGGAUUCCGGUUACCGAUGGGGAUGCGUUCCAUUAGGCAGUUGGCGGGGUAACGGCCCACCAAACCUACGAUGGAUAGGGGUUCUGAGAGGAAGGUCCCCCACAUUGGAACUGAGACACGGUCCAAACUCCUACGGGAGGCAGCAGUGAGGAAUAUUGGUCAAUGGGCGGAAGCCUGAACCAGCCAAGUAGCGUGAAGGAUGACUGCCCUAUGGGUUGUAAACUUCUUUUAUAAGGGAAUAAAUGUGGGUACGCGUACCCGUUUGCAUGUACCUUAUGAAUAAGGAUCGGCUAACUCCGUGCCAGCAGCCGCGGUAAUACGGAGGAUCCGAGCGUUAUCCGGAUUUAUUGGGUUUAAAGGGAGCGUAGGCGGGCGCUUAAGUCAGCUGUGAAAGUUUGGGGCUCAACCUUAAAAUUGCAGUUGAUACUGGGUGCCUUGAGUGCAGCAUAGCAGGCGGAAUUCGUGGUGUAGCGGUGAAAUGCUUAGAUAUCACGAAGAACUCCUAUUGCGAAGGCAGCUUGCUGGAGUGUAACUGACGCUGAUGCUCGAAAGUGUGGGUAUCAAACAGGAUUAGAUACCC